UACGGAAGGCAGCAGUGGGGAAUAUUGCACAAUGGGCGCAAGCCUGAUGCAGCCAUGCCGCGUGUAUGAAAAAGGCCUUCGGGUUGUAAAGUACUUUCAGUCGUGAGGAAGGUGUUAAGGUUAAUAACCUUAGCAAUUGACGUUAGCGACAGAAGAAGCACCGGCUAACUCCGUGCCAGCAGCCGCGGUAAUACGGAGGGUGCGAGCGUUAAUCGGAAUUACUGGGCGUAAAGGGCACGCAGGCGGUUAAUUAAGUUGGAUGUGAAAUCCCCGGGCUUAACCUGGGAAUGGCAUUCAAGACUGGUUAGCUAGAGUCUUGUAGAGGGGGUAGAAUUCCAUGUGUAGCGGUGAAAUGCGUAGAGAUGUGGAGGAAUACCGGUGGCGAAGGCGGCCCCUGGACAAAGACUGACGCUCAUGUGCGAAAGCGUGGGGAGCAAACAGGGAUUAGGAUACC
rnacentral:rRNA from 1 species